rnacentral:rRNA from 1 species
GACGAACGCUGGCGGCGUGCUUAACACAUGCAAGUCGAACGAAGUGGCGAACGGGUGAGUAACGCGUAAUCAACCUGCCCUUCAGAGGGGGACCACAGUUGGAAACGACUGCUAAUACCGCAUACUGAAGGAGGGGAUUGCGUCUGAUUAGCUAGUUGGAGGGGUAACGGCCCACCAAGGCGAUGCUCAGGAACCGGUCUGAGAGGAUGAACGGCCACAUUGGGAGUGAGACACGGCCCAGACUCCUACGGGAGGCAGCAGUGGGGAGUCUGCCGGAAUGGACGAAAGGCUGACGGAGCAACGCCGCGUGAGUGAGGACGGCCUUCGGGUGGUAAAGCUCUGUUAAUCGGGACGCGGUACCGGAAUAGAAAGCCACGGCUAACUACGUGCCAGCCGCCGCGGUAAUUC